UUAAGAGUUUGAUCCUGGCUCAGGAUGAAUGUUGGCGGCGUGCCUGAGAUAUGCAAGUCGAGCGCAUCUUGUCCCGCUUUGCGGGAUGAGGUCAGCGGCGGACGGCUGAGUAACACGUAGGAACCUUCCCUGAAAUAGAGGAUAGCCUAUCGAAAGAUGGGGUAAUACUUUAUAGUCCCCGCCUUUGGCGGGGUAAAAACCAUAACUGGUUGUUUCAAGAUGGUCCUGCGGCCCAUCAGGUAGUUGGUAGGGUAAUGGCCUACCAAGCCUAUGACGGGUAGCUGGCCUGAGAGGGUGUUCAGCCAGAGGGGUACUGAGACACGGACCCCAUUUCUACGGAAAGCAGCAAUCAGGAAUAGUCGGCAAUGGGCGAAAGCCUGACCGCGCGACGCCGCGUGCGGGAAGAAGCUCUUCGGAGUGUAAACCGCUGUGGUAGAGGAAGAAGUCCCGAUUUAAUCGGGAUUGACGGUACUCUACAAGAAAGGGGCCGCUAACUGCGUGCCAGAAGCGUCGGUAAGACGUGGGCCCCAAACGUUAUCCGGUUUUACUGGGCGUAAAAGGUCGUGUAGGCGUCCCAUCAAGUUCUGUUUUAAAUACUAUGGCUCAACCAUAGGAAAGGGCAGAAAACUGGCGGGAUUGAGUUUUCUUUAGGGAGACUGGAACUUAGGGAGGAGUAGUGAAAUGCGUUGAUACCCUAGGGAACACCAGUGGCGAAGGCGAGUCUCUGGAAGAUAACUGACGCUGAGACACGAAAGCUAGGGGAGCGAAGCAGAUUAGAGACCUGCGUAGUCCUAGCCCUAAACGAAUGCCUGCUGGCUGCAUGAUCCGCCAUCUGGCGGAUCGUGUGGCGAAGGUAACCCGUUAAGCAGGCCGCCUGGGGAGUACGGCCGCAAGGUUGAAACUCAAAGGAAUUGGCGGGGAGGCACACAACCAGUGGAACAUGUGGUUUAANNNNNNNNNNNNNNNNNNNNNNNNNNNNNNNNNNNNNNNNNNNNNNNNNNNNNGCUAGAAAUAGUGAGAAAUCCGCAAGGAUGGCGGCACAGGUACUGCAUGGCUGUCGAAAGCUCGUUCCGUGAGGAGUACCCUUAAGUGGGACAACGAGCGCAACCCCCGUCCCGUGUUACAUGUAUCACGGGAUACUGUCCCGCCUUUUGGCGGGAAGGAAGGAGGGGUAGACGUCAAGUCAGCAUGGUCCUUAUACCCUGGGCUACACACAUGUUACAAUGGGUAGCACAACGGGUUUGCUAGAUUGCAAGGUUAAGCGAAUCCCUAAAAUCUACUCUCAGUUGGGAUUGAGGUCUGCAACUCGACCUCAUGAACGCGGAAUUGGUAGUAAUCGCGGAUCAGCUAUGCCGCGGUGAAUACGUUCUUGCCUCUUGCACACACCGCCCGUC
rnacentral:rRNA from 1 species